UCCUGUCUGAAUAUGGGGGGACCAUCCUCCAAGGCUAAAUACUCCUGACUGACCGAUAGUGAACCAGUACCGUGAGGGAAAGGCGAAAAGAACCCCGGCGAGGGGAGUGAAAAAGAACCUGAAACCGUGUACGUACAAGCAGUGGGAGCACGCUUAGGCGUGUGACUGCGUACCUUUUGUAUAAUGGGUCAGCGACUUAUAUUCUGUAGCAAGGUUAACCGAAUAGGGGAGCCGAAGGGAAACCGAGUCUUAACUGGGCGUUAAGUUGCAGGGUAUAGACCCGAAACCCGGUGAUCUAGCCAUGGGCAGGUUGAAGGUUGGGUAACACUAACUGGAGGACCGAACCGACUAAUGUUGAAAAAUUAGCGGAUGACUUGUGGCUGGGGGUGAAAGGCCAAUCAAACCGGGAGAUAGCUGGUUCUCCCCGAAAGCUAUUUAGGUAGCGCCUCGUGAAUUCAUCUCCGGGGGUAGAGCACUGUUUCGGCAAGGGGGUCAUCCCGACUUACCAACCCGAUGCAAACUGCGAAUACCGGAGAAUGUUAUCACGGGAGACACACGGCGGGUGCUAACGUCCGUCGUGAAGAGGGAAACAACCCAGACCGCCAGCUAAGGUCCCAAAGUCAUGGUUAAGUGGGAAACGAUGUGGGAAGGCCCAGACAGCCAGGAUGUUGGCUUAGAAGCAGCCAUCAUUUAAAGAAAGCGUAAUAGCUCACUGGUCGAGUCGGCCUGCGCGGAAGAUGUAACGGGGCUAAACCAUGCACCGAAGCUGCGGCAGCGACGCUUAUGCGUUGUUGGGUAGGGGAGCGUUCUGUAAGCCUGUGAAGGUGUGCUGUGAGGCAUGCUGGAGGUAUCAGAAGUGCGAAUGCUGACAUAAGUAACGAUAAAGCGGGUGAAAAGCCCGCUCGCCGGAAGACCAAGGGUUCCUGUCCAACGUUAAUCGGGGCAGGGUGAGUCGACCCCUAAGGCGAGGCCGAAAGGCGUAGUCGAUGGGAAACAGGUUAAUAUUCCUGUACUUGGUGUUACUGCGAAGGGGGGACGGAGAAGGCUAUGUUGGCCGGGCGACGGUUGUCCCGGUUUAAGCGUGUAGGCUGGUUUUCCAGGCAAAUCCGGAAAAUCAAGGCUGAGGCGUGAUGACGAGGCACUACGGUGCUGAAGCAACAAAUGCCCUGCUUCCAGGAAAAGCCUCUAAGCAUCAGGUAA
rnacentral:rRNA from 1 species